rnacentral:rRNA from 1 species
GGACCUACGGGAGGCAGCAGUGGGGAAUAUUGCACAAUGGGGGAAACCCUGAUGCAGCCAUGCCGCGUGUGUGAAGAAGGCCUUCGGGUUGUAAAGCACUUUCAGUAGGGAGGAAGGUAGUGUAGUUAACACCUGCAUUAUUUGACGUUACCUACAGAAGAAGCACCGGCUAACUCCGUGCCAGCAGCCGCGGUAAUACGGAGGGUGCGAGCGUUAAUCGGAAUUACUGGGCGUAAAGCGCAUGCAGGCGGCCUGUUAAGUCAGAUGUGAAAGCCCCGGGGCUUAACCUCGGAAUUGCAUUUGAAACUGGCAGGCUAGAGUCUUGUAGAGGGGGUAGAAUUUCAGGUGUAGCGGUGAAAUGCGUAGAGAUCUGAAGGAAUACCAGUGGCGAAGGCGGCCCCCUGGACAAAGACUGACGCUCAGAUGCGAAAGCGUGGGGAGCAAACAGGAUUAGAUACCCUGGUAG